rnacentral:tRNA from 1 species
AGUAAAGUCAGCUAAACAAGCUCCUGGGCCCAUACCCCAGUAAUGUGGGUUAAACCCCCACCUUUACUA